rnacentral:rRNA from 1 species
UACGUAGGCAGCAAGCGUUGUUCGGAAUUAUUGGGCGUAAAGAGCGUGUAGGCGGUCCGGUAAGUCAGCUGUGAAAGUCAAGGGCUCAACCCUUGAAUGCCGGUUGAUACUGUCGGGCUAGAGUCCGGAAGAGGCGAGUGGAAUUCCCGGUGUAGCGGUGAAAUGCGCAGAUAUCGGGAGGAACACCAAUGGCGAAGGCAGCUCGCUGGGACGGUACUGACGCUGAGACGCGAAAGCGUGGGGAGCAAACAGG